UGAAGAUAUAUAUUAGGAUUUUAACAUUCUUUGAAUAUCCACUUUGAAAACAGGAGACAUCCGCGGCAGGUGGGGCUUGCAAAUGAUAUUUCUAAUCAGAUGUUCAUCCAGAAAGUAAUUAACUUUAGGAAAGUAAAGGCCCUAGAGGCUUCUGAAAAGAUUUCCUUACUCUCAAUUCUCCCUGAGCAUUGCUUGAUCUUUGCCUCCCCCUGAGCUGUAGAGCCCAAAGGGAAGAUGAGAAGCAAGUCCUGCUGAUAUGGAUGCGGAUCACAUUUGCGUGACUCAGAGCUGUGGGGAGCCCAUCUGUUGAGAUGAGAACCUGUGAAGAUGGAAGGAACCUAGAUGUUUGAGUCAUGGGGUGGAGAAGAGACCAUGUAAACCUACAUUGAAAUUUGUGUGACUCCCUCCCCCUCAACCAGCUUAGAAGUCGGGUGGAAGAGGAAGCUGAAUGGAACAACAUGAGCCCUGGUCAGGGCAGACUUAAGCCAGGAGAUGAAGUGCCAUAUACAGAGAAAACCUCAGUGGGAUCCCAGAUGGAGCACAAUUCCUGGUUCCAACUCUAUGGGUAUAUCUCAGUCAUUUAGCAUCUGCUCUAUCUUUGAGGCUGAGUUUCCAGAAGACCUGAUUCAACCAGAAGCAAAAGACAGUAGCCAAGAAGAUGGCACAGCCUAAGAAUUUUGGAAAUUGAUAAAAGCAUUCCAGAGAUAUCCAACGAAAUUGGUAACUAUGUGAAGAGAUUCUGUAAUAUUGGGUCUAUUGGGCUCUGUGGGAAGGUAUUCCCUUUGGAAAUGACUGAAAUGGAAAUUUUGAACCACUUUCAAUGAUACAAGUUUGGGGUUAACAUGGAGAUGGUGCUUCACAGAAUACACCACGUUUCAAUAAUUGUAUUCUUAUCGAAUCGUUUAAAAUUGGUCAGUGACUAAUAUUAAGCCUCUAAGAACAAAAUUCAUUAGGGUUUAUUUAGCCUGUUUUUGCAUUACUGCUACAAAAUCCAAUAGUUUAAAUAGCCAACUGAAUACUUUUGAUGUUAAAGAGCAAAAUUUCAUGAAGAUUUUAGAUCAAGAGAGCUACCACUGAGAAAAACAAUGCAGAUUUGUGCUAAAGUCCCAUGAAUUUGUUGAACUGCCAAGGCUUCUGAUCAUCACUGCUGAAGAACUUCUAAUGGUGACUUCCAUCUCAGCUUUCUCAUUGCCAACUAUUGAGGAUGUCUGGAUUAUCCAGAUGUUGCAACACAGUUGUGUUUUUGGCUUCACCACUCCCUCUGGGCUGUGAUUCUGUUUUUUUUUUCUUUUAUUGUUGAUGUUCUUUGUUUUUAAUAUGAGAAAGAUUUGUGUAUUAUACUUCAGUUUUAGUUUCCUUAAUCACAGACUAGACAAAAGAAAAUUGGCUUGGUUUCCUAUUAGGAAACCACUUAGAAGCCAUUAUCAGAAUCGUAGACCAUCACUGUGAACUAUGUCCAGGUGUUGUCAUGAAAGUAUGACAUCCUAGAGUGGAGAAGCAACCUGGGUUUCCGAGACUGUUUUACUCUUUUAUCUGGAAUGUUGUUUUAGCUGCUAUGGCUCCAACAGGGUGAACAUAGCAUUUUAUUUAAUCUAAAUAUCUUUCUGCUUUUUUUUUCUAAGUUGCUAAAAGUCAAUGACCACAUUUCAUCUCUAGCCUCUCGUGAGGUUUAAAUUACACAAGUAAGAAAUAUUUACAAUGUCAAAUGCUGAAGAUUGUUGGGAGUCAGAAGUGAUUGUCCAGAAUCUGUCUUAAUGACAAGUCAGAAAUUAGACAAAGAGAUGAAAUGCUAAGCCCCCAAUGUGUUCUGAAAAGUUAAAUAACCAUCUUACAUCAGUUGGUACCUUUUUGUAAGAGUCCAGGAUGCAUAAGUGAUAAAUAAAUUAAUGAAAAGCACUUUUAAAAAUCAACAAAAGACAUGGCAGGAAAUGGAAGAAAAGAGAAGCAAGGGAUGCAUUCUAAUAGAUAUUAAGAACAAGCCAAAGUGCAGUAUAUGCUUUAGGGUUUUACUGUUCAUUGUGUCAAGACUCACAGAUUUUAGAUAUUUUUUUUAAUUGGGAAAGUAAAUGAGGCAGGUAGAUAAGUAGAAAAAGUUGUGUGAAACUCAUCAGUACUGAAAAUAAAUAGUUGUACUUCUCUGUG